UACGGAGGGGGCGAGCGUUAUUCGGAAUUAUUGGGCGUAAAGGGCGCGUAGGCGGCCCUGUAAGUCAAAGGUGAAAUCCCUCGGCUCAACUGAGGAACUGCCUUUGAAACUGCAGGGCUUGAGUCCGGGAGGGGGUAGCGGAAUUCCCAGUGUAGCGGUGAAAUGCGUAGAUAUUGGGAGGAACACCGGUGGCGAAGGCGGCUACCUGGACCGGCACUGACGCUGAGGCGCGAAAGCGUGGGGAGCAAACAGG
rnacentral:rRNA from 1 species